UACAGAGGGUGCGAGCGUUGUUCGGAAUUAUUGGGCGUAAAGGGCGCGUAGGCGGUGCGGUAAGUCACCUGUGAAAUCUCCUGGCUCAACUGGGAGUCUGCAGGCGAAACUGCCGUGCUGGAGUGUGGGAGAGGUGAGUGGAAUUCCCGGUGUAGCGGUGAAAUGCGCGGAUAUCAGGAAGAACACCCGUGGCGAAGGCGGCUCUCUGGGACGUGACUGACGCUGAGACGCGAAAGCGUGGGGAGCAAACAGG
rnacentral:rRNA from 1 species